AGCGAACGCUGGCGGCAGGCCUAACACAUGCAAGUCGAACGAACUCUUCGGAGUUAGUGGCGGACGGGUGAGUAACACGUGGGAACGUGCCUUUUGGUUCGGAAUAACUCAGGGAAACUUGUGCUAAUACCGAAUGUGCCCUUCGGGGGAAAGAUUUAUCGCCAUUAGAGCGGCCCGCGUCUGAUUAGCUAGUUGGUGAGGUAACGGCUCACCAAGGCGACGAUCAGUCGCUGGUCUGAGAGGAUGACCAGCCACACUGGGACUGAGACACGGCCCAGACUCCUACGGGAGGCAGCAGUGGGGAAUCUUGCGCAAUGGGCGAAAGCCUGACGCAGCCAUGCCGCGUGAAUGAUGAAGGUCUUAGGAUUGUAAAAUUCUUUCACCGGGGACGAUAAUGACGGUACCCGGAGAAGAAGCCCCGGCUAACUUCGUG
rnacentral:rRNA from 1 species